GGAGGAAAGUAGGGGAUCGCAAGACCUUACGCUUUUGGAGCGGCCGAUGUCUGAUUAGCUUGUUGGUGAGGUAAAGGCUUACCAAGGCUUCGAUCAGUAGCUGGUCUGAGAGGACGACCAGCCACACUGGGACUGAGACACGGCCCAGACUCCUACGGGAGGCAGCAGUGGGGAAUUUUGGACAAUGGGGGAAACCCUGAUCCAGCCAUGCCGCGUGAGUGAAGAAGGCCUUCGGGUUGUAAAGCUCUUUCAGCCGGAACGAAACGGUUACGAUUAAUACCUGUAACUACUGACGGUACCGGAAGAAGAAGCACCGGCUAACUACGUGCCAGCAGCCGCGGUAAUACGUAGGGUGCAAGCGUUAAUCGGAAUUACUGGGCGUAAAGCGUGCGUAGGUGGUUUUGUAAGUCAGAUGUGAAAUCCCCGGGCUUAACCUGGGAACUGCGUUUGAAACUACAAAGCUAGA
rnacentral:rRNA from 1 species